rnacentral:lncRNA from 1 species
GGGGGAGCCCAGGACGGGGGAGCCUAAGUAUCACAAGCCACCACGGGUGCAUGGCCCGCCAUAGCUCGACUAUCAUUCUGAAGUCCGGACGAGUCAAGUCUAAUAUUUAACAUGAUAGGAUGGAUGCUUUAUUUUGUUUGCUUUAAAUUAAUCUAUUGUAGGUAAAUGCUCUUAAUUGUAUGUUUUUUAUAUAAUUAGCUCACCC